GUCGGUUUUCAUUUAGUAAAGGGAAUUUUAUAUGUACUUUUCAAAAAAUAAUUCACUCAUUCAUUCAUAUAUUUUUAAAAAGAAAACAUUUGCCUGAACCGCCCUCAGAUGCUAACUGCUUUAGACAAAGUUCAUGAUGUCUGGGGACAGUACAGAGUUUCCGUACCCAGCCAAGAUGCAGAGAAGACAGGUGACUACGUGGAGCUCAGAGACCAGGUCCGGGCUGGAGAGCAAUCGGUAUCCUAUGAAAACGAAAACAAAAAUCCCAAAAUACAAGCAAGAUGACUCUUAGGCAGAAGAAAUGGGUAUUUUCUUGCAUUUCAGUUUCGUUAGUGGUGAUAAAGUAAACAGAGACAGGCCAGCGCCAUUCAAACGGGG